rnacentral:rRNA from 1 species
CGAGCGAACGGACGAGAAGCUUGCUUCUCUGAUGUUAGCGGCGGACGGGUGAGUAACACGUGGAUAACCUACCUAUAAGACUGGGAUAACUUCGGGAAACCGGAGCUAAUACCGGAUAAUAUUUUGAACCGCAUGGUUCAAAAGUGAAAGACGGUCUUGCUGUCACUUAUAGAUGGAUCCGCGCUGCAUUAGCUAGUUGGUAAGGUAACGGCUUACCAAGGCAACGAUGCAUAGCCGACCUGAGAGGGUGAUCGGCCACGCUGGAACUGAGACACGGUCCAGACUCCUACGGGAGGCAGCAGUAGGGAAUCUUCCGCAAUGGGCGAAAGCCUGACGGAGCAACGCCGCGUGAGUGAUGAAGGCCUUCGGAUCGUAAAACUCUGUUAUUAGGGAAGAACAUGUGUGUAAGUAACUGUGCACAUCUUGACGGUACCUAAUCAGAAAGCCACGGCUAACUACGUGCCAGCAGCCGCGGUAAUACGUAGGUGGCAAGCGUUAUCCGGAAUUAUUGGGCGUAAAGCGCGCGUAGGCGGUUUUUUAAGUCUGAUGUGAAAGCCCACGGCUCAACCGUGGAGGGUCAUUGGAAACUGGAAAACUUGAGUGCAGAAGAGGAAAGUGGAAUUCCAUGUGUAGCGGUGAAAUGCGCAGAGAUAUGGAGGAACACCAGUGGCGAAGGCG